GGGUGAUAGCUUAGUGGUUAAGAGCACUAACUGCUCUUCCAGAGGACCUGGGUUCAAUUCCCAGCACCCA
rnacentral:tRNA from 1 species